UGUCCAGACUCCUACGGGAGGCAGCAGUGGGGAAUAUUGGGCAAUGGGCGCAAGCCUGACCCAGCAACGCCGCGUGAAGGAAGAAGGCUUUCGGGUUGUAAACUACUUUUCUCAGGGACGAAGCAAGUGACGGUACCUGAGGAAUAAGCCACGGCUAACUACGUGCCAGCAGCCGCGGUAAUACGUAGGUGGCAAGCGUUAUCCGGAUUUACUGGGUGUAAAGGGCGUGUAGGCGGGAAAGCAAGUCAGAUGUGAAACCCAGGGGCUCAACCUGGGGCCUGCAUUUGAAACUGUUUUUCUUGAGUGCUGGAGAGGCAGACGGAAUUCCUAGUGUAGCGGUGAAAUGCGUAGAUAUUAGGAGGAACACCAGUGGCGAAGGCGACUUUCUGGACUGUACCUGACGCUGAGGCGCGAAAGCGUGGGUAGCGAACGGGAUUAGAUACCCGCGUA
rnacentral:rRNA from 1 species